GUGUCAGCAGCCGCGGUAAUACGUAGGGGGCAAGCGUUGUCCGGAAUCAUUGGGCGUAAAGAGCGUGUAGGCGGCCCGAUAAGUCCGCUGUGAAAGUCCAGGGCUCAACCCUGGAAUGCCGGUGGAUACUGUCGGGCUCGAAUCCGGAAGAGGUGAGUGGAAUUCCUGGUGUAGCGGUGAAAUGCGCAGAUAUCAGGAGGAACACCAAUGGCGAAGGCAGCUCACUGGGACGGUAUUGACGCUGAGACGCGAAAGCGUGGGGAGCAAACAGGAUUAGAAACCCCGGUAGUCC
rnacentral:rRNA from 1 species